GUUGCCUCAUCAUUAGGUCAUUAGCAUCAGUUAGCUGGUGAAGCUGUGACAUCUUGUGGGCUGGCAGUUGCGCAGUCUGCUGUUGGUUUGUGCAGUCUGCCAGACUCAGACAAACUCAUUUGGAGGCACCACAAUGAUGGAAUUUUCACUGUUGGUAAACCCCUUCUUGCCAAUCAGCUGCAUCGCCAUUUCGCGUCUGAGUUACAAAAUCUAUUUAAGCUCCGGAGGCUUCUCCGGCGGGAACCACUGGGUUGAUA
rnacentral:misc_RNA from 1 species